AAAAUAUUUUUGUGCUCAAAACUCUUGCAUUUUGCCGCGCCUUACCAAAUCUAAUUUUCCACCAUAAGUUUCACAUUUUAUCACACAUAUCAUUCACCGAUCAAACUGAAAUUGAAAAACCAAACUUGAAAUGCAUUGAAAGUUCUGUUCGGUUAUGGGUCCUAGGCAAAUCCUGAAUGGAAAUGGGAUUAGAACCAAAACCGCACAACCCUAGUUCUUAU
rnacentral:misc_RNA from 1 species